CAACUUUAAGGUUGCAAACCCAAGUGCAGGUUGUCGCAAGUAGUAAUCUCGGAAGUCCGAGGUCGAACCACAGGGAAUUGGAAGGAAAUAAACUAUUCUAUGAGUAAUAAAUGGUUGGCGGAAAUACGAUUAACACGAACACUAGAGCGUCGGGGAUUCACUUCGGAUAAAUGAGUAGAAAUUGCACUUGAUCUUUAAUUUAACUCAUAUAAAAAUCAACUAAGGAGUGAUCUCAUAUGGAAGAUAAAACAUUAACCACAAAUAUACUAAAAGAUAGAUCUUGAUAAUUGUUUGAGAGAAUAUGUCAAAAUAAGUUGUUGGUAUGUAGAGAUUAUCUAAGCAUUUAUUGUGCCAAAAUUGUCAACAAUAAAUCAAAGUCUUUAACAAACCAAAACCAUUUGUAGAACA
rnacentral:lncRNA from 1 species